AAGGCGCGUACGCGGAAUUAAUCUUUCGGAAAGAAGGGGUACGUGUGGAUAAAGGAAACAAAACAAAAACAAAAACGAAGUGAAGGCAAACACAUGAAGCAGAUUUUGAUAUGCCUCGCGCGCGCAGGUUGAGCUAUUACUGAUCUAUGCUAAAUAACCAGAACAACUUGAGUAAUCAUGAAUAACCGUGAUAACAAGAUAAAGAAAACAUGCUUAAAAAAACGCUCGAAAAAAGCAUGAUAUAAACAAAGUGGGAUGCCCGCAAGAAAAACAGCCAAUGACGGACACGUAGGGAUAGUGAAGUUUUUGACCUAGCCAACCAUCUAGGAAAGUGUUAUUCCAGGUAACCUUACUAAAUAACCUCUAAUACCGAACAAAGUAGCGAUAACAUUUGUCUUGUUAUCACUAAGUAUCGUACUUGGCACCAAACACAUUAGCCGUCCAUCAUUAAUCGCCUAUCUCUCCGUAGGUUUCGGCGCGCUUAUUGGCUAACAUGCCAAAAAAAUUAAUCCUCAAAAGGUGACGCCAAUUAACAAUUCAUACUAUCAAGCUGUUCAGUUUUGGGCGUACCCUUUAUAUAUAUUGCAAGUAAACUUCAAUACUAUUGAGUGAAUUCUCUGACGCCCCUAAUAUGCUCAGCAUGAAGCUCGUUGUUGUUUUCUUCACACUGGUGAUUCUAUGAUCCGCGUUAGAUGUGGACUUUGAUUACAGUGAUGAUAUUGUAGAUGUGGAAGACAUCAACAAUCUUAUUCGCGAGAGCCGUUCGUGUCGUAACAGGCUUGCCUUGCCUCGUUGUAUGCGGGCUAAAAAUUUAUGCAACAAAAAGUUCUAUGCCAGGUUCUGCCGAGAAACCUGUGGAAAAUGCUGAUGACUCUGAGGAUGAUGAUGAUGAUGAUGAUGAUGAUGAUGAUGAUGAUGUUCUGACAUGACCUUUCACCAAACUCACUCAGUGGGAACCAUGUUAUAAACUGAUGAUAUGUGUGAUAUUUAGUUGUUAAUCUAAUAAAACCAUGUAGCAGUAUACAACUUUGUUAAUUAAAAAUAUUCAGGUGCGGA